rnacentral:rRNA from 1 species
GAUGAACGCUAGCGGCAGGCUUAAUACAUGCAAGUCAAGGGGGUAGCAAUACAACCGGCGCACGGGUGAGUAACGCGUACACAACAUGCCAUAUACUGGGGUAUAGCUUUGGGAAACUGAAGGUAAUCCCCCAUAACAUUGCGAGAGGGCAUCUGAUUGCAAUUAAAGUUUCGGCGGUAUAUGAUUGGUGUGCGUUUGAUUAGCUAGUUGGUAGGGUAACGGCCUACCAAGGCGACGAUCAAUAGCUGGCGUGAGAGCGCGACCAGCCACACUGGAACUGAGACACGGUCCAGACUCCUACGGGAGGCAGCAGUAGGGAAUAUUGGACAAUGGAGGAAACUCUGAUCCAGCCAUGCCGCGUGAUAGAUGAAGGCCCUCUGGGUUGUAAAUAUCUUUUAUCUGGGAAGAAACUCCUCUAUUCUUAGAGGCCUGGCGGUACCAGAGGAAUAAGCACCGGCUAAACUCCGUGCCAGCAGCCGCGGUAAU